UACGUAGGGAGCAAGCGUUGUCCGGAAUCAUUGGGCGUAAAGCGCGCGUAGGUGGCCCCAUAAGUCCGCUGUGAAAGUCAAAGGCUCAACCUUUGAAAGCCGGUGGAUACUGUGGGACUAGAGUACGGAAGAAGCGAGUGGAAUUCCUGGUGUAGCGGUGGAAUGCGCAGAUAUCAGGAGGAACACCAAUAGCGAAGGCAGCUCGCUGGGACGUUACUGACACUGAGGCGACGAAAGCGUGGGGAGCGA
rnacentral:rRNA from 1 species